rnacentral:rRNA from 1 species
GCGACCCCAGGAUGGGCGAGGCCACCCGCCGAGUUUAAGCAUAUCAAUAAGCGGAGGAGAAGAAACGUACGAGAAUUCCCA